GAAAUGCGAUAAGUAAUGUGAAUUGCAGAAUUCAGUGAAUCAUCGAAUCUUUGAACGCACCUUGCGCUCCUUGGUAUUCUUGGAGCAUGCCUGUUUGAGUAUCAUGAAAUCUUCAAAGUAAAUCUUUUGUUAACUCAAUUGGUUUCUACUUUGGUAUUGGAGGUCUUUGCAGCUUCACACCUGCUCCUCUUUGUUCAUUAGCUGGAUCUCAGUGUUAUGCUUGGUUCCACUCGGCGUGAUAAGUUAUCUAUCGCUGAGGACACUGUAAAAGGUGGCCAAGGUAAAUGCAGAUGAACCGCUUCUAAUAGUCCAUUGACUUGGACAAUACUUUUAUGAUCUGAUCUCAAAUCAGGUAGGACUACCCGCUGAACUUAAGC
rnacentral:misc_RNA from 1 species